rnacentral:rRNA from 1 species
UACGUAGGGUGCAAGCGUUAAUCGGAAUUACUGGGCGUAAAGCGUGCGCAGGCGGCUUUGCAAGACAGAUGUGAAAUCCCCGGGCUUAACCUGGGAACUGCAUUUGUGACUGCAUGGCUGGAGUGCGGCAGAGGGGGAUGGAAUUCCGCGUGUAGCAGUGAAAUGCGUAGAGAUGUGGAGGAACACCGAUGGCGAAGGCAGCCCCCUGGGCUAACACUGACGCUCAGGCACGAAAGCGUGGGGAGCAAACAGG